UUCCUCCAACUCUAAUUGGUCUCUCCUCAUUUUAUUCUCCAACUCUAAUUGUUUGCUUUUCAUUUCAUCCUCUAACUCUAGUUCUUUUUUUCUCAUUUCAUAAAUUUUGUUCUUUCUGAGUGUUUUAUGUGUUGCCUCACUUUGUGCUAAAUGUCAAUCAUAUUAUUCAUCCUCCUUGUUCUCCUCUUCUACAUUAGUUAUCUUUGCCCACCAACUCCUCCAAACAUGUCAUCUCUGACAAAAACCUCCAUAUCUACCACUUGAAGUUUGAUUCGUGUGAGAAUACAUAAACUAUUCAAUGUUCUAUGUGCGCUCAUUUGCAACUCGUAAUGCUUCCUCCAACUCUAAUUGGUCUCUCCUCAUUUUAUUCUCCAACUCUAAUUGUUUGCUUUUCAUUUCAUCCUCUAACUCUAGUUCUUUUUUUCUCAUUUCAUAAAUUUCGUUCUUUCUGAGUGUUUUAUGUGUUGCCUCACUUUGUGCUAAAUGUCUCACAGUUUAUGUCGUAUCAGCGGUUAAAAUUAGUGGACGAGACGAUCUUUCUUCAUAAGCAAUUCUCAUGCUCAAACACCUAUCUCAUGGAUUGAAAUCUGUGGCAAGAGGUCCAACACCAUACAUUCUCCCAUUUUUAUUCUUCCCUCCAGCGUUACCAUUCCAAGUUUGUGUUGACACAAUAGGAUCAAUAUGAUAUGGCCAUGUUGUUACUACUACCUCAGGAUGCCGCAAUAGGUAGUGUGCAAGUUAUCUUUUAUACUCCUCCUACA
rnacentral:lncRNA from 1 species